rnacentral:rRNA from 1 species
UACGUAGGGUGCAAGCGUUAAUCGGAAUUACUGGGCGUAAAGCGUGCGCAGGCGGUUUUGUAAGUCUGAUGUGAAAUCCCCGGGCUCAAUCUGGGAAUUGCAUUGGAGACUGCAAGGCUAGAAUCUGGCAGAGGGGGGUAGAAUUCCACGUGUAGCAGUGAAAUGCGUAGAGAUGUGGAGGAACACCGAUGGCGAAGGCAGCCCCCUGGGUCAAGAUUGACGCUCAUGCACGAAAGCGUGGGGAGCAAACAGG